AGGGUUUGAUCAUGGCUCAGAUUGAACGCUGGCGGUAGGCUUAACACAUGCAAGUCGUGCGAGAAAAUAUCUUCGGAUAUGAGUAGAGCGGCGGACGGGUGAGUAACGCGUAGGAAUCUACCUAGUAGAAGGGGAUAGCCCGGGGAAACUCGGAUUAAUACCGUAUACCUCCUUUGGGAGAAAGAAGGCCUCUCUUUGAAGCUUUCGCUAUUAGAUGAGCCUGCGUAAGAUUAGCUUGUUGGUGAGGUAAAGGCUCACCAAGGCGACGAUCUUUAGCGGGUCUGAGAGGACGAUCCGCCACAUUGGGACUGAGACACGGCCCAGACUCCUACGGGAGGCAGCAGUGGGGAAUAUUGGACAAUGGGCGCAAGCCUGAUCCAGCCAUACCGCGUGAGUGAAGAAGGCCCUUGGGUUGUAAAGCUCUUUCGUCGGGGAAGAAAAUGACUGUACCCGAAUAAGAAGGUCCGGCUAACUUCGUGCCAGCAGCCGCGGUAAUUCAAUCGAAUUCCCGCGGC
rnacentral:rRNA from 1 species